GUCCGGUGGGCAUCUUCUUGUAAAAUCCUUAAACCUCUCCCACGCUUCGUAGAGAGUCUCACCAUCUUGUUGCCUAAAAGUUUGUACCUCAGCUUUCAGCCU